GAUAGAUCAAUGUAGGUAAGGGAAGUCGGCAAACUGGAUCCGUAACUUCGGGAAAAGGAUUGGCUCUGAAGGCUGAGUGCGACCAGCCGGGUACUGCAGGAUACGGGCGUGUGCCACUCGUCGUGGAGAGCGCUUGGAGCUGCAUGCUCGCGGUUGCACAGCAAACAGCCAGUUCAGAACUGGCACGGUGAAGGGAAUCCGACUGUCUAAUUAAAACAAAGCAUUGUGAUGGCCCUGGCUGGGUGUUGACACAAUGUGAUUUCUGCCCAGUGCUCUGAAUGUCAACGUGAAGAAAUUCAAGCAAGCGCGGGUAAACGGCGGGAGUAACUAUGACUCUCUUAAGGUAGCCAAAUGCCGCGCCGCUGUGGCGGUACGGGAUCGCGUGGAACCCGUAGCAUAAAUUCCUAUCUACAGCCUCCUCGUGGCAUGCCGUGGAAAUCCCCGGAGACUCCACUCUGGGGCAACCAAUGUAGAGGGUCCAGCUUGUGGCGGUGCUUCCCCACCUGCUGGUUGUUCAAGGUACAAUUGUUGGAUAGCUCAGCCAACAGUACUACUCGACGGAGGAUAAUCGAUGAGUUGAAGAAAAACCUAGAAGUCAUACCGGCUAAUCGUACGACAGAGGGCGCCAUUUGACUGUGGUUUGUGAAGGGGGGAAGGAGCACCAACCCCCUGGAACACCAAUAGUGAUUCCCGUAUCAUUCUCCGGAAUGUGUGGGUGACCUUCCGGCUCCACAGGGCCGCUAAGGUUAGUAAGUGUUUCCUACUGAGCAGGAUUCAUUUACGGUUGCGAACGUGGAAUUCCCUAACCGAAAGCGAACAUUGCGAGCCGUGAGUCCGUCGGUGGCGGGGGAGCGAUUAGUACCAAGUAGGGGACGGUUUGCGUGGUGCAUAGGGGGUUAACCACGUAGUCUGGAGACUAAGGAGGCAUCAAGCCUCUGAUACAUCGAAGGGCGUUCCACACACAUCUGAGGUAGAUAGCAUGAAUGCCCUAACAGAUGGGUCCAAGUGACGUUAAAAAGGGGCAGUACUCCUGAGGGCCCCCCUGCCCCCAGGAGUCAGUGGUCAUCCACAUGCGUGCAGCAUGUGGUGAGCCAGGAGGAGGAUCCGGGGCGGAUCCUAUGGCUACCUCUUGGCUCCGGAAGAGAAUCUGACAUGUGAGAUUCGGACUCCGUGACCACGACCAACGGGCAACCAGCUUGCUAGGUGGAGAAAACUAGUGAGCCAGGGCCCUCGAGAUGAAGAACCCAACGGCAGUUGGUUAAAGAUGCAUACCGUAGCGAAGCAAUCGACGGCGCUACCUACAAGACUCGAUAGCGUUAUUAUAACACUGNNNNNNNNNNGUGCCACUCGUCGUGGAGAGCGCUUGGAGCUGCAUGCUCGCGGUUGCACAGCAAACAGCCAGUUCAGAACUGGCACGGUGAAGGGAAUCCGACUGUCUAAUUAAAACAAAGCAUUGUGAUGGCCCUGGCUGGGUGUUGACACAAUGUGAUUUCUGCCCAGUGCUCUGAAUGUCAACGUGAAGAAAUUCAAGCAAGCGCGGGUAAACGGCGGGAGUAACUAUGACUCUCUUAAGGUAGCCAAAUGCCUCGUCAUCUAAUUAGUGACGCGCAUGAAUGGAUUAACGAGAUUCCCUCUGUCCCUAUCUACUAUCUAGCGAAACCACAGCCAAGGGAACGGGCUUGGAAGCACUAGCGGGGAAAGAAGACCCUGUUGAGCUUGACUCUAGUUUGGCAUUGUAAGGCGAUAUAGGAGGUGCAGCAUAGGUGGGAGGCCGGGUAAAACAUUACCUCCCGGUCGCCUCUGAGAUACCACCACUCUUACUGUUGCCUUACUUACAUGAUCGGGUGGAACAAGCGCGGGUUCGCGCUGCGCGUCCGGAAGGCACGUACCUCGGCUCCGGCCGGUGGCUACGCUGUCCCGACGGGCCGGGCCGACCCAACGCACCGUGUUUCUUGUUCAGCGUUCAGUCAUGCCGUCGCCUAACGCCUGCCCGCACAUCGUGGGUGCGGUGGACAAUGAUGCGGCCCCCCGUGGGCUGCAGUACGUUCGCCGCCCUGCAAAGUGUGCCCGUGCGCCACGCGACACCUAAGGCAUCUGAACAUCUCUGAUCCAGGUCAUGGACAUUGCCAGGUGCGGAGUUUGACUGGGGCGGUACAUCUCCAAAACGAUAACGGAGGUGUCCAAAGGUCAGCUCAGUGUGGACAGAAACCACACGCUGAGCAUNNNNNNNNNNNNNNNNNNNNNNNNNNNNNNNNNNNNNNNNNNNNNNNNNNNNNNNNNNNNNNNNNNNNNNNNNNNNNGGAGGGUACUUGGUGGACUGGCAAUCCACUUGGUACCCUAGUUGCUUGGUGGACUGGCAAUCCAUUAGGGACCAAUGAUACCAGGUGGAAACACUUGGUAUCAUACCGUGGACCUACCAUCCACUCGUGGAGAUGAUGAACCCAACGGCAGUUGGUUAAAGAUGCAUACCGUAGCGAAGAAAUCGUCGGCGCUGCUCACAACAGCGGACCAGACGCAGCGGAGUGGGGGCGAAAACCGAUCCCUCCGAUUGGUAAGUAGCCAAGGCACUUCUCGCCCUAAGUCUGCCCUUGACUAGGACGGGAGUGCCGUGGUGCAAUACAGGGCCAGAUGGACCCUAAUAGCUUGCUGCACGGGAAGUGAACCAAUGUGUGCAAGACGUCGUAACGCAGAGCGAAACCCACACACCAAUGUAGUGGGCGUGGGCCUAUGUUGUGUCUCUGGUAGUAAUGACGAGAAGUCUAGAUCCAGGGGGCACAGCGGGCCGCCCGGGAGGAGGUUUAGCACGGUACAAAUCCGGCAUGGUAUAGAGGGACCCUUAGCAAG
rfam:Anopheles funestus strain FTMOZ unplaced genomic scaffold supercont1.633, whole genome shotgun sequence.